GGUGAGUAAUGUCUGGGAAACUGCCUGAUGGAGGGGGAUAACUACUGGAAACGGUAGCUAAUACCGCAUAACGUCGCAAGACCAAAGAGGGGGACCUUCGGGCCUCUUGCCAUCGGAUGUGCCCAGAUGGGAUUAGCUAGUAGGUGGGGUAACGGCUCACCUAGGCGACGAUCCCUAGCUGGUCUGAGAGGAUGACCAGCCACACUGGAACUGAGACACGGUCCAGACUCCUACGGGAGGCAGCAGUGGGGAAUAUUGCACAAUGGGCGCAAGCCUGAUGCAGCCAUGCCGCGUGUAUGAAGAAGGCCUUCGGGUUGUAAAGUACUUUCAGCGGGGAGGAAGGGAGUAAAGUUAAUACCUUUGCUCAUUGACGUUACCCGCAGAAGAAGCACCGGCUAACUCCGUGCCAGCAGCCGCGGUAAUACGGAGGGUGCAAGCGUUAAUCGGAAUUACUGGGCGUAAAGCGCACGCAGGCGGUUUGUUAAGUCAGAUGUGAAAUCCCCGGGCUCAACCUGGGAACUGCAUCUGAUACUGGCAAGCUUGAGUCUCGUAGAGGGGGGUAGAAUUCCAGGUGUAGCGGUGAAAUGCGUAGAGAUCUGGAGGAAUACCGGUGGCGAAGGCGGCCCCCUGGACGAAGACUGACGCUCAGGUGCGAAAGCGUGGGGAGCAAACA
rnacentral:rRNA from 1 species